AUACCGAGGGAAAUAUGGCUUCAAGUAAGCUUUUUGUUGUUUUGCAAGUCAUUUUGAUCUCUAUCAUUCUCCUGGCUUUUCAGGUGGCUGCUAGAGAAUUGGUUGAGGCUUCUAGCGCUCUAAAUCUUUAUCAUAAGAUGGAGAGGGAACUUGUUAACUCGGAUGAUCCUUGGAGCAAGGGCCACAACCCUCGACAUGGAUGAUUUUGUCUCACAAAUUAAAAGCUUAAUUUGGGCCAAAGAGGUUGGCAUGGUGGACAAGAUUUCCCAAUGUUCGCGUUCGAAUCUCGCUACUGGAAGCUGCUACUGUACUGUACUGUUUUCUCUUUUAUUGUAUAAAAAAAGUUAAAUAAUGAAAAUAAGUUGUUUGUGUACUGCAA